rnacentral:ribozyme from 14 species
CCAAAAAAAAACAAAAACAAAAAAACAACCAAAAAAAAACAAGGUUUCUUCUUUGUCCAAACUUUUCUAUUCAAACUCCACGUACGGUUUUUUUCUCGUCUUCUCU